CUCUGCAGUAGAACCUGAAUGCUUGGUACUUCAGCUUAAAAAAAGAUCUCAGAGUCUAGUAUCAGGUAAUUUUCAGAAUCUUCCUAUGAUGAUUCAAAUGAAAGCAAUUCGGUUUCCUGGCAUGCUGCUGGCAUAGUGCCCAAGUUUCAGAGGCAUACAACAAUGAGUUCAGCACAAUGGCUUUGUAGAACUUCAGUUUGGUAGGGAGCCUAAUACCGCCUCUCUCCUUACUUUCUUUUGGAAACUCUCAAACACUGGGUUAGCUUUGGAAAUGCAUCCAUCAGUCUUAUCAUCUAUGGAAAACAUACUGUCAAGCCUUCCCUUCAAGUCAGCAACAAAAUGUUGGAGAAGCACUCUGAUUUGUUGACAUUGAGUCUUCUGAUAAUCUUCUUGCUUUGGAGCCACCAAAUUUGUUUAAUAGUCACUGAAGUCCAAUAGCAAAACAAAAGUUAAGAUGACUGGUGGUGGCUCAGGAUGCAAUGGAUGACCUUGGUGUCUUCAAUAUCUGACCAAGAUCUAAGGUCUGCUUCAGCUAUUUUCACAGUCCAUUGAAACAAAUUGUUCUCAUUCACCCAGUCUGCUGGGGAAGUCUGCAUAUACCUUGGGUAGUCACACUCCACCCCUAAUUUGAUGCUUAUAAAACAAAGAGCUGGAAAAUGAAAUAAAUACUAUGUAGAAUAGAAAGGCUAGUUUGACUGGAAAAUAUAGUGUGUGUGUAUGGGGGAAGUAUUAUGGAAUCAGUCUUGAACUAUUGAGUGAACUCUAAUUACAAAGAAUUUAAAAUAUCGGAUAUGCUGAUUUUUCUUGUGCAGCAUGAUAAAUGUGGAAAUACGUUUAAAAGCACAUGUUUAAUCUAUAUUAGAUUACUUAUUGUCUAGGGGAGGAGAAGGGGGAAAGGGAGGAAGAAAACUUGGAACGUAAGAUUUUGCAAGGGUGAAUAUUAAAAACAAUCUUUGCAUAUAGUUUGAAAUAAAAAGCUAUUAUUUAAAAAAAAAUAAAAUGUGAGAUAUAGGAAUUUGCUUAUCCUAAACACAAAUGGGAAUUGCUGCAGUUUCUGGAACAGAGAGUACACUAUAUGACAUGUCAACUGGAUUGGAACUGGCUUGGCUAGAGCCACACAAAGUAAGUCAGAGACAAAAGAGUCACAAAUAUAAGUAUAAUUAAUUUCAGAGUGAGGAAAAGGACAUUUACAGAUUUAAGUACAAUCUGUACUCCUAAA